rnacentral:rRNA from 1 species
UACGGGGGGAGCAAGCGUUGUUCGGAUUUACUGGGCGUAAAGGGCGCGUAGGCGGUCGUGACAAGUCACUUGUGAAAUCUCCGGGCUUAACUCGGAACGGUCAAGUGAUACUGUCGGACUAGAGUACAGAAGGGGCAACUGGAAUUCUCGGUGUAGCGGUGAAAUGCGUAGAGAUCAGGAAGAACACCGGUGGCGAAAGCGCUCUGCUGGACCUUAACUGACACUGAGGGACGAAAGCUAGGGGAGCGAAUGGG